GGCUGCAUGGCGCAGUGGGUAGCGCUUUUGUCUAUAAGCCAGGUGGGACCCCUGGGUUCGAACCCCGGCAUGGGGG